rnacentral:rRNA from 1 species
GACAGAGGUGCCGAGCGUUAGGCGGAAUCACUGGGCUUAAAGCGUGUGUAGGCGGAUGGGUAAGUACCUUGUGAAAUCCCACGGCUCAACCGUGGAACUGCUCGGUAUACUGCUCGUCUUGAGCCAACUAGGGGCGACCGGAACAAACGGUGGAGCGGUGAAAUGCGUAGAUAUCGUUUGGAACGCCGAUGGUGAAAAACAGGUCGCUGGGGUUGUGCUGACGCUGAGACACGAAAAGCCAGGGGAGCGAACGGGG